GGUGAACGCUGGCGGUAGGCCUAACACAUGCAAGUCGAACGGCAGCACAGUAAGAGCUUGCUCUUACGGGUGGCGAGUGGCGGACGGGUGAGGAAUACAUCGGCAUCUACUUUUUCGUGGGGGAUAACGUAGGGAAACUUACGCUAAUACCGCAUACGACCUACGGGUGAAAUCAGGGGAUCUUCGGACCUUGCGCGAUUGAAUGAGCCGAUGUCGGAUUAGCUAGUUGGCGGGGUAAAGGCCCACCAAGGCGACGAUCCGUAGCUGGUCUGAGAGGAUGAUCAGCCACACUGGAACUGAGACACGGUCCAGACUCCUACGGGAGGCAGCAGUGGGGAAUAUUGGACAAUGGGCGCAAGCCUGAUCCAGCCAUACCGCGUGGGUGAAGAAGGCCUUCGGGUUGUAAAGCCCUUUUGUUGGGAAAGAAAAGCAGCAGGUUAAUACCCCGCUGUUCUGACGGUACCCAAAGAAUAAGCACCGGCUAACUUCGUG
rnacentral:rRNA from 1 species